rnacentral:lncRNA from 1 species
GGGUUUUAAUCUUGGAAACAAUGAUUGGGCUCUAUGGUGAGUAGAGACAGACAGACGGCCAGCCAGCCCAGCCCCUGCUUACCAGCCUCCCCCAAACCUUCAUGGGAUGGAACUCACCUGAGUCCAGUUCUGAGGCUGAAGAAGCAUAGGCUACAGAGACUACCCAACCCUGAAUGAUUGAUCCGCUCUCCACCGGACUCAUCCCUGUGCCUCUCUCUAGGCAUUGUGGGUGAUGUAGUCACUUACAGAGCUUGGAGACAACAUGAGAUUUGCAAGAAAUUAUGGGCAAUGAAAACAGACUCCUAAGCUGGGCACGGUGGCCCACACCUUUGAUCCCAGCACGCAGGAGGCAGAGGCAGGUGGAUCUCUGUGAGCUCAAGGCCAGCCUGGUCUACAGAGUGAGUCCCAGGACAGCCAGGGCUACACAGAGAAACCCUGUCUCGAAAAACAAAACACAACAACAGGAAGAGAGAGAGAGAGAGAGAGAGAGAGAGAGAGAGAGAGAGAGAGAGAAGAAAAAGAAAAGGAAAAGAAACCAAAUACCUAAUCAGCAAGGGAUUGUGGGUAACAGCCAGACUCUAGCUAUACUGGGGUCAGGGGUCAUACAAUUAGAGCCCAAACCCAUAGGAUGAUGGAUGUAGACUCCACUCGGGCUUCAACUCUACAGAGGUCAUGGGCAAUGGAGACAGUCUCCAGACCUACAGGAAAAUAGGUUAUGCAGCUAGAUUCCAAAAGUGCAGGGAACUGGGGGUGACAGAGGCAGACUCAGGACCCAGAGGAGUCUGGAUAAUAGAGCACUCGCCAGUUCUGACCAGCUUCCCAUUGAGACUCCUACAGGGCCUGCUUUCCUGGCCCCAGGUAUCCCUCCUGCAGUUGCCACUGUGGUCCUGGUGUGUCCUAAGUUCCCUGUCAGGGCUCAGGAGCGCCCAGCCCUUAGCCCGUCACCCACCCUCCAGGUUCCCAUCCUCCUGGCUACCUGAGGAGCUAGGCAAGCCUUUCUCCCUCUCUCAUGAGGGGACACUGAGGUCCAGUGCACACUGGGCCAGACUCCUGCCCUGAAGCCUGUCAGCAUCUGGCUGCCUUCUCCCCGCUUGGCGCCCAGCCCAGCCCUUAGAGACCAGACUCGCACUGUCUGUCUUCUUGACCUCCAUCAGGCUCCUAGCUUACAGAGCUUCCUACAGCAGCAGGCUCAGCUGGAGCUCCUGGCCAGACGGGUCACACUGCUGGAAGCCAUCAUCUGGCCAGGUAACGGCAGGGCGGGCAGGCAGGGGCAAACCCUCCCGUGAUGGGCCUGGGACAGGCUUGGGCAUGAAGAUGUCCACGGUGCUUGGUGUGAACCAGAAGACACUUUGCAGCCUCCCACUCAAGGACACGGAGCCUGGCACAUGAGCUGGCUUCCCUGCUCUGACCGUCACCUACCUGCACAGGCUCCAACAGAGCCAACGGGUAUAGCCGUGCCCUCGUGCAGCUUAGAGCUGGGGUAGGGGGAUGGCACUGGCAGUGAAAGCUAAGAAGGGAUAAGUGACAGCCCUGCAUU